rnacentral:rRNA from 1 species
GAUUGAACGCUGGCGGUAUGCUUAACACAUGCAAGUCGAACGGAAACGAUACUAGCUUGCUAGUAGGCGUCGAGUGGCGGACGGGUGAGUAACGCGUAGGAAUCUGCCUGAUAGUGGGGGAUAGCCCGAAGAAAUUCGGAUUAAUACCGCAUAAUCUAUUCGUAGUAAAGUGGGGGACUUUCGAGCCUCACGCUAUCAGAUGAGCCUGCGUAAGAUUAGCUUGUUGGUAGGGUAAAAGCCUACCAAGGCGACGAUCUUUAGCUGGUCUGAGAGGAUGAUCAGCCACAUCGGGACUGAGACACGGCCCGAACUCCUACGGGAGGCAGCAGUGGGGAAUAUUGGACAAUGGGGGCAACCCUGAUCCAGCAAUACCGCGUGUGUGAAGAAGGCCUGAGGGUUGUAAAGCACUUUCAAUUGUGAAGAAAAGUUAGCGGUUAAUAACCGUUAGCCUUGACGUUAACUUUAGAAGAAGCACCGGCUAACUCCGUGCCAGCAGCCGCGGUAAUACGGAGGGUGCAAGCGUUAAUCGGAAUUACUGGGCGUAAAGCGUGCGUAGGCGGUUUAUUAAGUCAGAUGUGAAAGCCCCGGGCUUAACCUGGGAACUGCAUUUGAAACUGGUCAACUAGAGUAUGGUAGAGGAAAGUGGAAUUUCUGGUGUAGCGGUGAAAUGCGUAGAUAUCAGAAGGAACAUCAAUGGCGAAGGCAGCUUUCUGGACCAAUACUGACGCUGAGGUACGAAAGCGUGGGUAGCAAACAGGAUUAGAUACCCUGGUAGUCCACGCCGUAAACGAUGAUAACUAGCCGUUGGGGGGAUUUACCCUUUAGUGGCGAAGCUAACGCGUUAAGUUAUCCGCCUGGGGAGUACGGCCGCAAGGUUAAAACUCAAAGGAAUUGACGGGGACCCGCACAAGCGGUGGAGCAUGUGGUUUAAUUCGAUGCAACGCGAAGAACCUUACCUGGUCUUGACAUCCUGCGAACUUUCUAGAAAUAGAUUGGUGCCUUCGGGAACGCAGUGACAGGUGCUGCAUGGCUGUCGUCAGCUCGUGUCGUGAGAUGUUGGGUUAAGUCCCGUAACGAGCGCAACCCCUAUCCUUAUUUGCCAGCACAUCAUGGUGGGAACUAUAAGGAGACUGCCGGUGAUAAACCGGAGGAAGGCGGGGACGACGUCAAGUCAUCAUGGCCCUUACGACCAGGGCUACACACGUGCUACAAUGGGAAGGACAAAGAGCCGCGAAGCCGCGAGGUGUAGCUAAUCUCAUAAACCUUUUCGUAGUCCGGAUUGGAGUCUGCAACUCGACUCCAUGAAGUCGGAAUCGCUAGUAAUCGUAGAUCAGAAUGCUACGGUGAAUACGUUCCCGGGUCUUGUACACACUGCC